rnacentral:lncRNA from 1 species
UUUUUGAAAAGCAAAGAUGCAUCUCUCUAGGAAGAGAGAUCACAUGCCCCUCUCUCUCCUUCUUCCCUAUCAUUCAAACUCCUAUGCACAAUCCCUAUGCUAAACUCCAACUACUUCUCUGCAUCUCCCAUCUCCUCCACCCCAAAACCAGCCAGAUUUUAUAUUUCUCAAUUUUUACCACCCUAUCAAUCAGCUCAACAAUGUCCUAGCCUUACCCUAAAUAGCUAGAUUCAACCAUUUACUUGCACAAAGGUUUUCAGAUCCCUUGAAGUUGAAAUAUAAAUUUCAAAUACAUGGACUAGCCUCAUCUACAUCUCUAAUUCUUGCCCAACAUCUCUUUACUGCAGAAAAAUAUUCAAAUUCAAUCACAAAUAAUUGGAUUUCCUCCCUACUCUACUUAUCUUUUCUAUCUCCUAUAAUUUUUAAAGAGAUUAUGAUUAUUUUUCUUAUUUUAUUGCUUGAGAUCUAAAUAGUGCAUUUUAAAAACUAGUUGUUCCUUCAAUGUUCACUAUAAAUAGCGCCUCAACUAUUCUCAAUAAGGAAGGGAAGAAAGGGAUCAAAAGAGGUUAGAAAAGGUGAAAAAAUGAGUGGAAAAUAGUGGAUUUUAGGAGUGAUAGAGGUGAGAAAAUCACAAGAAAAAAUAGAAAAAAGUAGUCUUAAGAAUCAAAAGUUUCUUUUUAGUUUGGGUGAGAAUUCAGAGUUGAGUUUUAGCCAUCGGAGUUUUCACGUUGGCGCCCAGUUUGCUUCACAACACAAGGUACGAUUCGUCUUUUUGGGUCACUUCCAUCUCUCUUUACCUUUCUAUUUGGGUCUGUAAGCAUGUUGUUUAGUUCAACUUUUGUCAAAUUUCAUAUCGAUGUGGUUGAAAAUAGACUCAUGCACAAGUUUUGAUCAAGUCUAAAUAGUUGUAGAUUCAAAAAAUCAGGUUUGGAAGUGAAUUUUUAUGUUGUUUAUGUUGUCAUUAGUUUUGAAAAUUUGACCAUGAUACUGUGGAAAACACGUUGGUGUGAAAAUCACCUUAUUUUUCUUAAAUUAUGUAUUUUUCAAAGUACGUAUAUGUGAGUUUAUAUUGUUGAGAACCACCCUUUUCAGUUUGUUUUCAUCUUACUUUUCUUCAGCUCUUUUCUGUUAAACAUGGGGUUCACUUUGAUUUCUUCUUUGUGUUGUUAUUUUGGUCUUGCAAAUAAAUGAUAUAAUUUUUUAAUCUGAAAAAAUCAUUUGGUGGAUGAAUACAUAAAUGUGUAAAUAUGUAUUUAAAUGUAUUAAUUUUAUGUAAGGCUACAGAUUAUUGUAAUCUUUCUCAAAAUUGGAUGAGAGAUGUAUCUUCAGGGCUGAAAGCUUACUACUACAGUUACUUGGGUCUGCGAAAGCAUCAAAGAUGGUUAUGUAAAUAAUUGAAGAGUAAUUCCUAUCUCGUUUUGAUGAGAUUAUCAUCUCCUUUUUUUGUGCGCGUAUGAAAGAAGCCCAUUUCGAUAUACAUUUCCACUUUUCUCGCUUAAAAUCCAUGUAUCUGGUUAAUGUUUUUCUUUGCUCUCAUUGGAAGUCUGGAAUCUGGUUUUGGUGCUUGUGAUUUUUAUUUCUUCUAUUCUCUAGAUUAGUAAGGAAAAAAUUCAACCAUGAAAAUUUACUUUCAUUUUGCGGCUGCUUUGACGUCCAAAUAAGUGAUGUUACAUGAAUUUUAACCCUUUAUUUUACUUUGUUGGACAUGGGACUAAUAUAGUUGGAAUCAUCUCCUCAAUUAUUAUUAAGUGUAAAGACUAAUCCUAGAGUUAAAAGUUUGUCUUCUUCACAGAUUCAGAUUCAUAAGUUUUUUCCCUUCAUUUUCGUGGUUCUACAUGAUGGUCUAGUGUUGGUUAGUGUUGAAAUGUGACAGAACUAUGAUUUACUAAAUUUCGUUAAGUCUUAAUUUGGUUCAUUUACAUAUUAUCCAGUUAGAGAAGGGUUUUCUUUUCCCCUUUUAUCACCUUGAAUUUGAUUUAGCCUAGAAAUCAUACAUAUUAAUACUUGUAUCUUGGGUCAUUCUUUGUAACUAAGCUUAGAAUUGGAUUUUGAUAUUUAUUUUUGUCUAAUACAUGGCCAUUUUGAAUAUAUAAAAUAUGAAACUCAAUUUUUAGUUUCACUUUACUAUAAAUUUGAGUUUGAGAAGAUGUGUGAAUUGAAUGUUUUCCUAUGUUCUUACAUUCAAGCAUGCCUACAAUACUGUGUAAGGUUUGUUUAUAAGAUCUCAGUCAAAUAAGUUUAAAAGACCACCUGAAUGCCUUUUCUUUCUUAUGCAUCUCUCUCAAUUUCUCUCAAAAUUCUCUAAAAUUUAUGGCUUUGCAUUGCAUAUCCAAGUUUCAUUUCAUCCCUUUUGCAUUAGUUAGUUUGGUAAGUUGUCUCAACUCUCUUCAUUUUGAUACAAUUGCAUGCUUAGAACGUGUAGUUUAGGUAAAGACUUAAGUUAAUAUUUUCAUGGCAAAAUGUAUGCUUGUUGAUAAUUAUUAUGUGGUUAGUUGUUGUUGGUGGUGUACAUACUCAUAAAAAAGUCUUGAGUACCCAGAAUUAGGCCUAAAACUACUUGAAUAGAAGUGUGCACCAUGUGUUUGAUUUACUGCCCCAAAGAGUUCAAUUUAAUUUCUUUCAAGUCUAGGGCCAUAAUCAUUCAUUCUAUGCUUAAAUUCUCGAUGUAUGAUGUUGGUAUGCCUAGUUUCAACAAAGAAUUGUGAUUAAAAUUGUCUUUUGAAGAGUGUGCAGAAUAUUUCGACUAAGGUCUCAAGUAUUGCGAUCGCGGUCAAUGAUCUGCGAUCAACAUACCCGAGGGCAGUGUCUGCAGGAACCAAAAAUUUCUAUACAUCCAAUUCUACCCCCAAAACCUUUUGUAACACUACCACAUGUAUUUAUCUUUUUGAUCUAGCUUGUUUUUGGUAUAAUUAUACUAAUAAUGGCCAAAAGGGCAAUGUUUAUAGGUUCUAAGCCUUAGAGAUAGAAGAAUUUGACAACAUCAGUUUCAUGGCCCCAUAAUUCUAGGACAUCUUCUACGCAGAUAUUCACAAAACUAAGUUACUCUCUAAAAGGGAUAUCAACUUAGACAAGGUAGAGGAGAAGCUCCUAGGAUUCCAUUCUAGACUCUCUGAAAUCGGGUAUAGGAGCUUUGCCCCGGACCCCUACAAAGAAAAUGAGUAGUGGGUACAGGAGUUCUAUGCCAACCUAAGCAUAACUUCUUUCACAAAUUCAGUAAUGACUAUUAGGGGAAAUCAAGUGAAUUUUGAGACAGAGAGAAUCAACGAGGUUCAUGGACUCCCAAAUACUAACAUGGAGAAGUUUUAUGCAAAAUCAUGUGAGCUAGGGACCUGGAUAGAAAAUAUUUUAUGUCUUAGCAAAAAGGUUCCCUCGGCCACUACCAAUAGAGAUAUUCUUAUGAAUAAAUUUACAUUUGAGGCCAGGCUUUGGCUGAAUAUCAUCUGUAGCCAAGUAUUACUAUGCACUCACAUGACCAUUGUUACAAACUUGCUAGCUUAGAUGGUGACCUAUUCUAUCUAUGACAUCGCCCUAAAUAUGGGCGAGAUUGUGCGCUCAGAGUGGAGGUACUUCAGAAAUUAUGGAGGUACACAUCUUCUCCUUCUUUCUAUUAUCAUAGAGCUAUGCAUGAGGGCACAAGUGGAGGAAUAUGCUAUAGAUACUUGGGUACUCCCAGGUCCUCGCAUCUUUCAACACAAGUUCAGGGGUGAGGGUGACCCAAGUCAGAGAAAAAAAGGAAAGUUGACUCUGACAAAUCAACCUAAGAGGAAAUAGACUCUUGUAGACCUUCAUCUGUCAACUCUCUCAAUAACAUAUGAGGUCAGAUACAGGCGGUUAGGGAGCUAUUAUCAAAAUUGCCUCAGGAAUGGGGAGAGCCAUCUACUACUCGCCACUCGUACGUAGCUCAGUCGGACUAUGAGAAAUAUUAGAAGUAAAAGAAGUAGGGAGACACUAUCACCUUUUUGGAGAGAGCUUAUUCAACCUUAGCUACGUCAUAUAGGGACUUCAUGGAUUCAUAUAAGAAGAUAGUAAAGAGAGAGAAGAAGAGAGAUAAAUUCUUCAAAAGUUGGGGAAGGGGAUGAAGGGCAUCUUCAAGGUUCUCAAGCCUAAUCAUUGACUACCUUUACGUAAGAUUGACCAUGAAGAUAAGGCCCUUGCUGAUUGGUCUACCGAUGUUGCUAAUGGUGAUGGUUCAGAUUUAGUAGGAGAGAGCAACUCUUGAUGCAGAUUCAGGGAGACCCUCUUACUCUUUCGUUAUUCCACACACAGUGAGGACACUACAGUCCUUUUUAGUUGGGGUUGCCCCAAAUUUGUAUUGUUGUGAUGUUGUGUUGCUGUAUAUUUUAUAUUUUUGUUGUUGUUUUGGGAUGCCAUUUUAGAUAUUAUUUGGGUUUUGUUUUGAGAUGCUACAUUUUUGGGGACUCUAAUUGUGCCCAUAUUUUAUGGAUUAUCCUAUUUUUUUUUUGUUUUUCUUCUUUCUAUAGUUUUAUUUAAAUUUUGAUGAUACAUGACUAGCUUUGCCCUAUGAUUGAUUAAAUGACAACAUUCUUAAGUGUAAAGCAUCAUGAUUGGGUUUUGAGACAUAGACGUAGGGAAAUUUNNNNNNNNNNNNNNNNNNNNNNNNNNNNNNNNNNNNNNNNNNNNNNNNNNNNNNNNNNNNNNNNNNNNNNNAAUUUUGAGUUCUUAUGGCAUUGUUUAUUUGGGAUCACAUUAUACACCAUUGGCAAAGUCUGAGUAGCCAUAUUAGUGGUUUGCCCAUUUUGAGCCAAAAUAUGAGGCUAAGGCUUUGGUUGUUGCCACAGUAUAGCAAAUUAUGUGUGGUGCUAAUGUAAAAUGAACAACCCCCUCCAUCCAAAAUUUUUCAAAAAUAAACAGCAUGGACAUGAAUAAUUUUGUAACAAAACUUUUUAUCUAUUUUGUUACUCAAUAAAUUUUUGACUUGUGAAUAGAAAUAAAUACUCCAAUUUUCUCUCUAGCGGGAGGGACAUUUGAACACCCUUGGCUAAUUUUGCAUGCCAUGUGUGGUGAUCCAUUUACAUUUAUAGCUUGUAUACUUGUGUUAUCUAAAAGUUUUCCCAUUAGUCUUUCAAAGAAAAUUUUGAUUGUAGUUGGUUGGAGAAAUGACCUUAGGCCAUCUUUAUGACUUUGGAAUCCACUCUAGCCUAAAAAGUCUACCUGUGCAUAAAGUUAAUCCCUAGUUAGCCACUUUGAGCAUUUGGACCUUUCUUUGACAAACUCAUUACAAACCAUGAACCAUUCUUUUUAUUCCUCUUUUGAAUCGUACCCUUCUUAAACUUGAAAAUGCAACUCGAGGCUAAAAGCCUAAGUUGGGGAUGGUAAAGAUUGACGCAAGUAAGUUUGGGUCCACAAAUUCGCAAGUGAAAUACCUAAUGAGCCUUAGCAUUAAAAAUAAAUGAAUAUAAAAAAAAUGAUAUGACAAAGGAAUAAAUUACAUGUAAGCUGCAAGAAAAAUAAAUCAAAGAAAAUUGGUAAACAAUGGAAGCAAAAAAUAGGCAUGAGAAAAGAGAGAAAAAAAGGAGUGGCCCAUAGUCAAAAAGGUUGAUUAAAUAGUGUGAUAUAGAUGUUCAAAGAAGGGCAUAGCCAUGUUUUCCUAAAUAAUAUCGUACCAUAGCCCGAACCUAUGUUACAAGAUUAGAAUGUCCUUUGAGAUUUCCAACCAUUUACUUUCUUUAUAGUGACGACUGAAAGUAGGGGAAAUCCUAUGGUAUGACACUCGUUGCAUAGAGAUUUCUUAUUCGAGGGAGAGAGUUUUUAUACUUAAUAGUCCUUCUUGCAUAUUUGGUAUCUUGGUGUAUGGAAUUCUCUUUCUUUGAGGUUGGCAUAUGAAAUAAGUUGAGGUGGGUAAUUUCGUCACCUCCCAAGGAAUGAAGCAAGUGGUGUAAAGAUUAGUUGUGGUUAAAAGGGAGUCACUUCUAGAGUAUUAGUUUUUGUUGCUUGGUUUCUCUUUGAAGUCUUCUGUACCCUUAGAUAUGGCAUUUCAUGACGAGUGGUGUAGUGAAAAUUAUCUCAGCACAUUUGUAAUGAGUUACUUAUUAUAGUGACUAAGAUUAAAGUCAUUGUGAUCUUUAAGGCGUGAAGUUUGGGCAUCGAUGAUUUGAAUGAAACAUAAUUGUGCUUAAAUGCACUAAGAUCCACACUUUGUAGGUAUAGAGUUGAUGAGAUAGAAUGAUGUAGAUUGGAGCUUAAAAUGAUCAAAAGGAUGCAAGAGAAGUGAAAAUGAAGACCUAGAGUAGAAUGGCCGCAGUUACUGAGGUCGCGGUCUGGUAACCGCGAUCGCGACAAUCAUGUGCGGUCAAUCAACCACGGUCAUGUGAACUGCUAGCGGUUGUGGUAGCUGUGGUUGUGGCCAAGCUGGUAGGGUCGCAACUUAGCGGAAGAUUGCAGCCCAAGGGAAAAACUAGAAAUACACAUGGCUGAUCCCAAUUUUGACAAAAAGGCUCAAACUUUAGAAUUAUUCAUCAUAUUCCAUCUUUCCCAAAUAGUUAGGUUUUGUUCUUGAGUUGAUCACCUCCAUUGUUAGAGAAGAAAAUAUUGUAUAGUUUUUGGGUGAAUAAUACUUUGGAGACCUUCUAAGUGGAGGAAUAGCUCACUUCUAUUGGAGAUUUUUGGGAGUUCAAAGUUUUAGGAAACAUUCACUUUAGCUUCAAUAAACCAUUUUAAUGGAGUUAUGGAAAUAUAUUUGCUUAUUUAUCUUAUGUGUAGGAUCUACCUCUUGGCGUUAUGUGUGAAUAAUGAUUUAAGUGUGCGUGAUUUGGUAUUGUUAUCUUCUAUUUGGUUGUUCAUGUUGAUAGAUUUUAUCAUUGCUUGACUAGUUUGUUUGGGAUUUGUGGGCGAAAGCCUUAAAUAACCAUAUGGGUUUGAUGGGUGAAAGCUCUGAACUCUAGAAAUUUCAAGGCCAUCUUCAAAAGAAGGUUUUUGGAUGAAUUUUAGGAAUCCACAUCAUCCUUGAAAGAAGGAUGUAGAGACCAAAGCAAUGAUAGACAAUUAUGUGUAUAGUUUGCUAAUCUAUGACUAUCUUAGACAUAAGAGUGGUUGCGAAGUAGACUAUACUAUGAGUAUUAUCCUAGAAAUAGGGAUUCCUAAAUUAAGGUUUGGUUACCAAUUGUUGAGCACACAUACUUGGUAUUCGAAAGAAUCAAUGGGUGCAAGUUUGGGGUUUUGCUAAAAGACUAGCUUCAAAGCCUAUAACCGAAUCUACCCACACUUGAUCUAAUAGAAUAAAGUUAACUAUUAGCAUCCACAUGUCACCCCUUAUUAAUACAUAAUCCCAAGAUCCGUACCUAAUUGAUAAAACUCUAAUUAUUUGUAGUCCCGAAUUUAUACUAGAAAAUAGUAAAAAGAAACAUUAUUGUAGGUUCCUAUCUCCCCUAUUUGUAUCUUUUUGUACUAUUGGCUUGAAUUAUACUUAUAUCUACUAUUUUAAAUUAACUUGAUUUUCACUCACAUUGUUCCUCAUGGAUUCUACCCUGACUCUAAAGUUGGGUAAAUUUAUUGAUGACAACUGCCUUGCACUUAAAUUGACGUGUAAGUUGAGCGUUAUCAGACUGUAGUACGUGUUCACUAAAAAUGAGAUUAAUAUCAGGCAGAGAAGGUGACUUGAGUUUCUAAAGAACUAUGAUAUAAGUCUUCACUACCAUCCAAGUAAAGCUAAUAUAGUUGUUGAUGCUUUUAGCUGGUUUUCCAUGGAAAGCUUAUCACAUGUGGAUAAGUAUAAGUGGGAAUUAGUGAAGGAUAUUCACAAUUUCGCUAAUAUAGGAGUUCAUAUCUUGUACUCUAAAGAUGGUGGUGUGUUUGUGCAACAGGGGGUGCAAUCAUCUCUUUUUUCGGAAAUAAAAGAGAAAUUUGUAUUAGAUCUUCUUUUGGUGAAGAUCAAGCAUGAUAUAGGUACACAGAAGGUGCUAGACUAUGUGAUUAGCGGUGAUGGUAUCUUGAGGUACUGAGGGACAUUGUAUUUUCCCAACAUAGAUGUGUUGUGAGGAAGGAUUUUUUCCAAGGCCCAUGAAUCACAGUAUAACUUUUUAUCUAAGUGUAUGGUGUGUCAGCAGGUACAGCUGGAGUACAUGAAACCCGGUGGGCUACUUUAAGAGAUUAAAUUACUAGUGUGGAAAUUGGAUGUAAUUAAUAUGGAUUUCCUUACUGGUUUUCUGUGGUCAUGGAAUUAGCGUGACUCCAUUUGGUUCAUCAUAGAUAGGAUGACUAAGUCUACUUACUUUUUGCCAGUGAGGACAAAUUAUUCUAUCUAGGACUAUGCAAAGUUGUUCCUUCAAAAGGUUGUGAAGUUGCAUGGUGCACCGAUCUAGAUUAUUUUUGACCGUGGUACUCAAUUCUCAUCACAUUUCUUGCACUCUUUUCUACAUGGUUUGAAGAUUAAAGUGAGUCUUAGUACGACGUUUCACAUGCAGUCGGAUGGGCAAGCUAAAAGGACUAUUCAGACUUUGGAAAAUAUUUCGCGAUCCUGUGUGAUUGACUUUGGUGUGUAGUUGGCUCGAGCACUUGCCUGUCAUUGAAUUUUCCUAUAAGAAUAGUUACCAUUCUACUUUGGUAUGGCCAUAUUUGAGGUAUUUUAUGGAAGGAGUUGUAGAUAUCCUAUUGAGUUGUUCGAGGUUGGUGAAAGAGAAAUGCUUGGGCCAGAUUUGGUUCACCAAGCUAUGGAGAAAGUGAAGGUGAUUCGAGAUAGUGUUAACACCGCCCAAAGUCUCGAAAAGUCCUAUAUAGAUGUAAGGAGAAGGGACUUGGAAUUUGAGGUUGGACAUUGGGUGUUUUUGAAGUUAUCUCUCAUGAAGGGAGUGAUGUAAUUCAAGAAGAAUGGGAAGCUCAGUCCCCGGUAUGUUGGCUCGUAUUUGUAUAUGAGGAGAGUUCGUAGUGUUUCACAUGAGUCGGAUUUUCCCUCUAGCAUGACUUCCAUUCAUUCGGUAUUCCAUGUGUCCAUGUUGCGGAAAUACAUGGGUGAUCCUUCGUUGGUUUUUUCCUUAGACAACAUUGGUAUUUCGAAUUGUUUUUCCUAUGUGGAUGUCCCGAUGAGAAUCUUAGAUAGGAAAGUUUGUUGGUUGUAAAUGAAAGACAUAGCUUUAUUGAAAGUUCUAUGGCAGAACCAAGAAUCUGAGAAAGCUACUUGGGAAGCGGAGGAGGACAUGAAGUCCAAGUAUCCGUCCUAUUCCUGAUUUCGAAAAUUUGUGCUUGGGGUAUGUGUUGUUCCUAACAUCUUUGUUUUCCAACUUUGUUAAAGAAAAUAUUGAUUUCCUUAAUAUAUUUGUUUUAUAAAUUUGUUAAAGGUUUGAGUAGAGGUAUAAUAAGUCCAAUCAUGCUUGUGUUUCCUUGACCCAUCAUUCGAGGAUGAAUGAUCCUAAGUAGGGGAGACUGAAAUGGCUUGAAAUUUGGUCUUUGCAAAUUCUAAAGCCUUGAACUUUCUGUUCAUCAGAAGACUCACACCAAAAGUCAUAUGGUGUGGUGAUAGGUCUAGGGACCCUGGUCUUAUGUUGGUCAGAAUGUUUCUGACCAAGUUUUGUCCUAGUAAUGAGAGACUCCAUAUGAGUCGUAUGCUUAUGUAAUGAGAGAUUUAGGGUCAAAUAGUAUGUUGUCUAAUGUCUAGCCCUUAAUGUUUUACCUUGGAUACAACUUAAUGGUACUAGUCAUAUAGUAUGGUAGGGAAAUGGAGUUGUUAGUUGGACAGAAUGUGACGAAUUGAAGGUACCACUCAUAUGAUGUGGUGACGAGUUGGAUGGUCAACUCAUACCCACCUGCGAGUUUUCAGUGACUUUUAGGAUGAGGGUAUUUUUAACUUUUCCCACCCAAAGCCUUUAAGAACCGACAUCUUAUAAUACUUAUUGGGUAUUCGUUCUAUAUUUUAGAUGAUUAAAACACUCCCUAAACACUCUCUAAGAACCUCUCAAGAAGAUUGGGCUUGGUUUUAUUCAAGGUGGUCAUAUAGAAGUCUAAUGAUUAAAUUCUCUCUAUGAAUUAUUGUAACUCAGACAUGUGACUCUUUCUUCCUUGUUAGUUCACUAAAAUCAUGUGUUUUAAACAUUGUUCAUAAAUCAUUAAUGGUGGUUUUGAAAACCAUGGUUAAGGGUUUGAAUUCAUAAUCUUGAGUAUAGUUUUCUUAUGGUUUACAUUACGAUUAUACAUGUUUAGAUAAUCUUAAGUAUUGUGAUUUAAACUAAGCGGUCAUGGUUAACCCUAACUUUAUGUGUUUCAACUUGAAUAAUGGUUUGAUAAUGGUAUGCCCUCAACCUGUUUGAGAAAUUAUCUAUGAGAAUUAUUUUGUACAUGUUUAUUUGUGGUUGAACUAAGACAUUAGCCUAAUAAUGUAAGUGGUUGGUAAAUUGGUUUUAUGAAAACCUUGUUGGCCAUAAAUUGGUUUGAAUUGAUAAAUAAGCUCGAGUCCGUAAAUAUUGAAAAGAAUUGAUGUCUUUGCUUUUACAAUGGGUUCGAGUCCAAAAGUUGAUUAAUAAUGGUUAUGGUAUGUUGUACGAUUGCAAGUGGGGUGGGUAUGACGAUACCAAAUGAAUGCCUUUGGUAAGUAAUUUGAUUAAUGGUUGUGUAUAUGUGUAAUGAAUGUUUUAAUUGGAUUAUAAAGCAGGAUGUGUAGAAGGGCUAUGAAAGUGAAGUCUGUAGGACAAACACUGGAAACUACACUAGCUGGUCCGGGUGUCUAUAUGAUCAGGAUGUUUGAGUCUGCCAAAUAAAAAUAUGAAUGGGAGGUUCAAGUCCCCCAUAUUGUAUAUAUUAGUACUUAAGUCACCUUGAUUAUGACUGGAGGUCCAAGUCUCCCAUAAAGGCAUAUAAAGAUAUAGAUACUCUCUUGUUCAUGCAGCUAAAUACACUGGGGCCCUUCCAACUGGGGGAGAGCUGGGAGAACAUAUAGCUAUUGGGUGCCGUACUAUAUGAUGAUUAUUAUACAAAACCAAGAUUAAGAUUUUUUAAAUGCAAUUUAAGCCUUGUUUCCAUCCCAGCAUAAUAUAUAUGUAUGGAUUUAUAUGAUUGCAUAAGGUCAUUUGGCUUGGUUUUUAAUGAUGACAUUAUUUUCUUCUUCUAUACCUGAGUUGCAUGCUCACUCAAACUGCUAACCAUCUUCAGAUGUUAUAUCUCAAUGCAAUACAGGUGCCAAAAUUUUCUAUACUUUUCCUAUACAGUGAUCACGUGUUUGAGUGGUUUAUGAGUGGACAUUGAGGUGGUAAGAUUCCAUACAUCAGAAGGCUUCAUUUCAUGGUCUUAAUAUUCUAUGUCUCAGACUUUUUUUAGACUUUGUUUUGGUUAUUGUCGGGGCAUGUCCCAUCAUUUUAUUGACUUCAGAUUUUUAGAGGCUUUGUUGGAUUACUAUGCACAUGGGUGUGCUGUUUUGGUGGAUUGUCUCGGUGAUGAAUGGUUGUUCGGUUACUGGUGAUUGGCUCAGACAUUUCAUGGAUAAAUAUUAGUCUUAGUUUAUACUAUCUUGUUAUAUAUUAAAAUUCACCUGACACUUUAAGUUGUUAAGCUGACUAGGUUAGGUGAAGGAGGUGAUCUAUGGUCUUUGUGGGACAUGAGAUACUUAUUACAGCCAGGCCCUGGUUUGGGUUAUGACAUAAGCAUAUGUACAAAUUAUACUACCCUAAAAAAGAAAAUAUCUAGCAUAUUACUCAUAUGCCCUCACAAUAAAGAAGUCCCACUCACUCAUAUAAAAUCAUACAUGUCAAUACAGGGACAAUCAAGAGACACUCAUCCUCAAAAGAGAAAUUCCAAUCAAUGUGCAUCAAAUACCAUAGGCUUGCCCUUAUUUUUUACCUUAGUUUUCAAACAGUUAGGCUAGGAUCACUAUAGAAAUUGUCUCAGCUUAUAAUGUAGGCUUGGGGGAUGGAAUAGUACAUAUGGACAUAUCAAGUUACUACGCCUUCGUGUCACUACACUAACACUGGGGUCUCACUUAUUUACCAAUUUCCUUUUAUUCCACCCUUAUUUAUCCCCUUUUUCCUUUAUCGCAAAUUCAGGUAGGGUGUGGUCUUUUAUUCUUUCUUUCUAACUUAUUGAAAAUUUUCCUUUUCUUUUCCUUUUUCUCUUUCUUUUUACCACACACAACCCUACUAUGUUUUUCUCUUAUUUUAACCUUUUUCAUACCCAUUUAACACUAUGUACUUCUAUGAUAGCCUCCCUCAACUUAGGCAUUUUUCCUGAGUUGAGGUGCAUAAUUUCUAAGGAGAACCAGGGCCAAAACAGGUUCAUUGUAAUACAGAUAGGUAGGUGAAAGGUGUAAUAAAAACAAUAAGCUAUAAGGCUCAAAAUAGGGAACAAGGGAUACUAUUUCGCAUACAAAAGGACAUUUAGGAUAAAAGGGGACAAAAAAUAAAAAAACGGCCUAUAAUACCUUCCUAAACGACAAUUCUACAAUGUAGGCAAGAGUAACCGGACAAGUUCUAGAUUUCACACACAAAGGGAACUAAGUAGCAUCUCACACACAUGGCCCAAAGUCAAUAUUACCAGCUACUACUUUUCCGGUUCAUGUAAUUAAUAGCAAGUGAUUAUCAUGUCCCUAAUCCUAAUGCCCUAACAAGAUCCAAUAAUGUUCACACAUAUAUACGUUCAGACAGUUAUUACAACACACAUUUUUUGGAGGGGUGUCAUUUCUCAUAAAUCCAUAAAUACAUGAUAACUGCCCUAAAUACUCAAAAACUCCUAAUUACACAAAACAUAUCACAAUACAAUGUAAAACACCAUAUUACGCAAGUUAUCCUAGACAUGUCGAUUCUAAAAACAUAUCACGGUUGACAAGAAAAAAACCAUGACAACAAAAACCUAUGGCGGCUACGGUACAUCCCACCCUAACUAAUAAAUUGCACACAAUUCUCAAUGCACAAAAAUAAUAUAAAAUAGAGGAAAGUGAGAACAUAACUGGGAUACGCUAAGUGAUUGUAACGACCUGAAAUCACCUACCGGAACGUCACACAUUGCCUAGGGUCUCAAGUGACCCUAAGCUAACCCUUCUAUAGUUACAACUCAUAAGCAACGAAAUAAAAUGCAUAAAUCUAAAAGAAUAAGGUGGAAAAGAACUCUAAUACAAAUUUUCUCAAUACAAAUCUGAAGUCACAAGGCUACAACUCUGCUUUUACAAUAAAACUGAGACUCAUUACAUCAACUCCUACCGAUUAUCUAUGAAGUCUCUACUAGCACUGACCAUGGGUAACUGGGUUAUGACUCCCAACCACCCCAACUCAAUAUGACUGAAUAAGGAAAAUACAACACUUUCCUUUUAUAUUACUGACUUGUGGCCCUGAAUCAAAAGGACCCAUCACCUGAUGACUAGAAGCUGCGAACUGAUUGGACGUGGUACAUGCGCUACAAUCUUGUAGCUACAUUAUGAGACAAUGUAGCACAUAGACGUAUAUGUGAAUCAGUACUUUGAGGAUGUACUGAGUAUGUGGAAGUGAAUGCAUAUGUAUAAAAUAGUUUCAAUCUUCUUUAAUCAAGUCAUGCAUGCAAUAUGGGAUGACUAACAUGGCUUGAAAAAGUAUAAAAUGUAAAGCUCAUAAAUCAUGUAGAAUGAAACAUGUAACACAAUCUCAUGAGUGAUCAUUAUUUAACUUCAAAAUUUGAAACCUUCUCUUACUCUCAAUGCCUAAAGGCUAACGGAUUUCAAACCACACUUUCAAGUUAUGCAUAUAUCUCAAGAGAGUAAAAGUUCUUCAAUGCUCAACACUUCACAAUCAUUUAGAAUCUCAUAUACUUGAAAUUCGAAUUAAUAAAACUUGAAAACAUACUUCAAGGCAUUUCAUUCACUUUAGAAAAUAUCUUAUCUCAAAUCAAUACCUUGAUUAGGGAAUAUCUUUGCAAUUCAACCAUUUGGGAAAAUAGCUUAUAGGGAAGGAAAAUAAUAUUUAAUUUCAAAGUUCAAAAGGCAAGGGAGGUUCUCGUAACCGACAUAAACCAUGCGAGCUACAUGGAGUCCAACAUUUCGUCUUCGUAAAGAAGAGACCCCACGUUAGGAAGAGUCAUACUCUUUCCAAGGAGUAUAAUCUUGGUCUAGUGAUCACUAAACAAAAAUUGGUCUCAGGCCUACGUAAUAAAAUUGGCCUCAGGCCUACUCAUAAUCAUUAUAUAAUCUGCCUAAGGCUCAAAUCCAUCGGUGGCAUGUAGUUUUGGGGUAAGAAACCAUAGUAACUUACCCACUCGGUGCUAAAUACUACUCCCUUUAAAUUAUCUACGCUCAUCUAAAAAAAUCCACUUUUAGAAUAAUCACAUGGUUCACCACGAACCCAAUAAUAAAAUCGAUAAUCUCAUAUAGUGAAGUGAAUUUCAAAGCUCAAGAACCAUUAGGUCAAUUCAUUUCUCAAUCAUCUAGAAAUACUCAAAACAUGGGUGCUCAUAGUACAAGAGUUCAUAAUUUCAUAAGUCUCGAAUAGAGCUUACUAAACCAUGGUUCAAUUUCAAGUUAAAGCUUAUCAAAAGCAUAAUAUAUAGCAUAUAGAUUCAUAAAUCAUGUAGAAACCUGGAACUUUCAGCAAUUCAUCUCAAAAUCUUAAUGUAGUCAUAUGCUUCAAUAUCUCAACAUUUCAGAUAUAAGCUUCUCAAGGAGUAAAGUCAUGGGGUUUAUCAAGCUGUAAAAACUAAAGAAAAGAUGUAGAAAUCAUGCCAUUUAACUCUCAAUUCAUGAGAAAUAUCAACAUAAUGCAUUCAAUGAUUAUGUGUGAAAACCCCAAUUCAAACUUAUGUAAAAACCCCAUAAUUUCAGCAAAAUCAUGAUGUAAAUAAACAUUUUGGGCACAAGGGUGAAAGGGUUACCCUUGUUGAAAACCCCACAUAUCUUGAAUUUGAAGCUUUAGAAGAAUUCUCACUUUUGGAACUCUACUGUUGCUCUAGAAUGAGGAUUCUUGAGAUCCUUCACUUGGGAACCUAGAAUCUUGACUCAAUUUAGAAAAUCCAUGGUGGAUUCUUAAGAUUUAUGGAAAAGGUUUUAAGUGUUUAGGGUUGUUAUUAUGAGGAUACUUGAUAAAACCCUCAUAGAAUGCUUGCAAAUGGGUUUAAUCUAGUGUUACCAUGAUUUUAUAGGCUUGGAAAAAGUCCAGAAUGCCCAUUUUAAACAUCUGUGCGAAACUAGAGAAAUUUAACUGGAACCCGAUUUCACUAGCCUCCGCGACGCACCACUAAUUGCGUUGGCUCUCUGAAAAUUGAAAAUUCCUAAAUCAACCAUCUCCGCGAUGCGCCACUCACUCAAAUGAUGCAAUUUCAUGAAUAAGGAUUAAAUUAGUCAUAAUGUCUUACCCGGGUGUCGAAUUUGGGCAAAUCUUAUAUCGAUGGAAAGCUUAUCAGAUUUUCCACGUGAUAAAAAAAAAUUAAAAUUAGGAAAAUUCUACAUGGUUAACACAUUACUCACUUAGGAAGCAACUUCUUAAUCUUUUAAGGCUGGAAUCACGCCUUACUCGUAAUGCGCUACGACUCAAACUACGAGGAAAAUUUGCGGGGCUUUACAAUAUCUCCCCCUUGGGAACAUUCAUCCUCGAAUGUCGCUAGUUAGGCUCAAAAUGCAGGAAGAACUGAGUACACACAGCUAAAACAAUUGCUAAAUGGUUCAAGGUCUUCUAAAAUUCAUGACCACUCCGGAUAUCGCAAGAACUCAUACAAAGGUAGAUGCAUAGCUGAAAUACAUGUCAAAUUGAAUCUAUACCUUUUUAAAAUCGGCACACUUGAAGAAUACCUAUAUUCACGAUAGGAAUAACUAUGUAGUUGAAUCUCAGUUUAGAGAGAAGCUAAAUGAAGGAAUGGUGUUACCUUCGUCUGAAUCUGGGCUAUCUUGCCUUAGUCUUAUAACGAAGAGUUAACUCAUGCUGAAUUCAAAGCAUGCGAUCAUCGACUGACUAAAUCUUGGAUUAAACCUCCUUAACGUAUUAUCCCUUAACCUACUAUCAAUGAUAAGAAAUGAUAAUAUCUUAGAGCAGAAAUAUUUAGCAGGAAAUCUCUGACACUAACAAAGAAGAUAAUCAACUGAACUGGAAACGGAGGUAAAGCCUAUCUAACGGGUGGCUUCUGGUGCUAAUAACAAGAAUACUCAAUCGAAUCUGGGAUUGAGUUCAAGUCCAUCUAGAGAGUGACCUUGGAAUAAUAAUAAGAAUACUCAACGGCAUCUGAGAUCAAACCUAUCUAACGGGUUAUCUAAGAAUCUGAUAACACUGAUACUGAAGCUGAUUAACUAAGUCUACUCGCAUGAAUAGUUGAAUUCCCUUGGUGCCGUUUAUCUAAUGGAAUAAUACCAAACUCUAAAUAGAGUAAUCGAAUACUGCUAAGGUUUACAUUGAACACGGGUAUACUACUGGAUCUGAGCAGGGUACCAAAUCGAGGCUAGAACGCUAAUGAUACUGAGAUUACUCAAGUUCCAUAGCUGCCUGAGAGUCCUGAGUUCUAUAACUCACGAACUUCUGAGAAUCAUGGCUCGACUGAUAUCAUCAUGAAAACUGAUAUGGGAUCUAGACAUCAUCUAAAUUAUAAGGAACAUAUACCCCCAGGACUCGGUAAUAUAAAAUUAAAACCUAACCAUUCUUGACUAGUCAUGACCACGGUCAUUCAUUCAUCAUCACAAUCACUAAAGUAUCACUUCAUGUAUUUAGGAAUCAUAGACAUGCGAUAAUAUAGGGAUACAUGCCCUAGACUCACAUUCCAUUCUAAAAGGUCUUGUGUCAAGCACUUAGCACAUAUUUGGGUCUUGGCAUGUAUCAUAGAACACAUAAUUGGGGAAACUUCAUGUUAUCACAUCAUAACUCAUCCAACAAACACUUAGCAUGUAUCAAAGGUUUAACAUGUAUCAAAGAGAACCUAAUUAGGGGAUUUCAUACUACCUUUUCACCAUCUAUUCACUAAGGCUUUCCAACAACCACUUGGCAUGCAUGCGCUUGCACACAAUUGGGGUUUCCUAGUCAACAUGCCAUAAUGGCUCUAAUUCCUUCACAUAAUCAUUCCAUCAAAUAUAUAUAUAGGGAGCAUGCCUUGCUUAUUCAACAAUUUCUUCACUAAAUUGGAAUGAACAUAUCAUCUAACAAGAAACGUGAUAAGGGUUUUCGAUGGACAUCACAUGAAUAUCACAUACUAGGGUCAAAGCAUGAUAAACUUAUAAACAAACAUGAUUCACGUCUCAAUCAUAGCAUGGACAUCAAUUUCAACACACAUGAAUCAGGGAAAUUCAUAAACAUAAAAAAUCUUUGAUCUUUAGAAAAGGGUUCUAGAGUUUCUUAGAUAAGAGGAACCCAUGAAUCAAAAUCUACAUGCGACAAUAUUCCCCAGCAUGACACGUCUACUCUCUCCUAUCAACACAACUGUCCAUAUUUCCAUCGCAACCUAAGGAAGAGGUCGCUAAAAAGUUAGAACAUGUGGACCUGAAGCAUGAAGGGACAUUGUACUUAACUUGGCACUCAACUGAGGCUUGAGGCCUUUAACAUCAUGAAAUUAUCGAAGUAGUCUAACCCAAGGACAUGCAUGGUAUAAAUAUGGACUUUGUGAAUUACUAAAAGCAUUGCCCAAGUACUUAAGUCAUGAGUUGCAUGACCUGAAUUUGGAGUUCAGAACUCAUGGGAUGUGAUCCUGACUGCCAAAUGCACCAGAACUCCCCAUUUUAUGAACUAGGAGAGUACAUAACUCUCUAUCAUAUGCAUGAACAUAAAUUAGGAUCAUGGAUCAGAAAUGUAAAACUUGAGAAGGUAUUGGGACAACUUAAAGUACUUAAAUAAGAUAGGGUCAAGCAUCAAUAUUUCUCAAAGCUAUUCUACGCUCACUGGUAUGUCUACUAAAAUCUUAAGGUCUGUCCCUGUCACCGACUCUAUCAUCUCCCCCUUAGACUAAAGCAAUCAAUCCAAGGCGGUGAACCACCAUAUAAACUCUGGUCUGACUGUCGUUAUCUUGCUCUAGAGUUGGGGACAUAACAAUACACAUAAACAAAGGAACUUGGUUCAAACGACUACACUUCAAAGCGCAACACAUCAACACAACAACCACAAUAACAACAACAGACCCAAUAUAUUCCCACAUAAGUGGAGUCUGGGGAGGGUAGAUUAUACGUAGUCUAUACCACUACCUUUAAAGAAGUAGAGAGACUGUUUUUGAUAGACCUCCGGCUCAAGAUAGAAAGGUAGUAUACAAAGGCUUCAAUAACAUAGGAUACCAUAAAACAACAUAGGUACGAUAUCCACAAUGAAUUACACAUUGUAAAACCAAGGACACCAAUUCCUACCUAAUCACCGACAAUGACUCAUCCACACUCUUAGCCCUCUAUCCGAAUGCUUUUUCUCCAAAUCUUCCUAUCUAGGGUCAUUUCCUCAGUCAGCUGCAACUGCCCCAUGUCACGCUCUAUAACAUCACUUCCCAAAGUGUAAUACCAACUUAUAUAACUACCUCCUGGGAUACACAUUAUCCGUCUAUAGCCCCAACAGUCAUCAUUUACUACUUAACGCUUAGAACGGGCACCUCUAAAUCUCUGAUGGACCACACCACUCCUACCAUAAACUAUUACUACAUUGCCUAUAACUUAUGUUUCUGGACCAUAAGAAACAAAUCACACACAACGCCAUCAUUCAUAACUCCUGAACUUUGCUAUCACGGACAUCACUAUCUCCCUAGUCACUCCUAGCAACUCAGCGCCACUACUAACCAGAUAACAUGCAAUAAUCCUUGAUGAGCAAUGCAACCUCAAGGAACCUUGCACACACUUCUACAUCAUACUUACAAUAUCGAACUUCAUUGAAAACCAAACAAACUUAGGCCUUUGUACAUACUGUUAAAGCCUAUUAGAUCACUUCCCUAUAAACUAGUACCAUCAAUCAAGAAGUCGUCUCCUCCAUUUUCAUGACACCAAUCAUUCAAACUUAGUGUCUAGCGCUAAUCUCACUUGGACGUUAUGAAAUAAAACAUCAACAAUACUCAAAAACCGCAUGCCCACUCGAACUUCAUAACCAAUAAUAAUCAAUCGCAAUCACAUGGCCCAUCUUAUUUCCAAUUCAUCAACACAUCCUUCUUUUACACAUCAUUACUAUCCACCUAUUUAUACAUCCCCAACUUAGUUCAUAGCCCUAUUAGUUUCGACCAAACCCUAUCUUACAAUUCUCAAGUACCCUCAAAUUACAACACCCAUCCAUCAAGUACUUUCAUCAAUAACUCAUACUUUCCAAUGCCACAAUCAUCAUCAAAAACUCUUUUCAUACUCCAAGCAGCAAUAUUUUUUAAAUAAGCAAGGACAUAGGACUUCAUUCCUAGCCUAAACAUACAACAAAAUUCAGCUAUACAUAUAAACAUAUAAAUACAAUAAUUGGCCCUAACCACUUUUCUUGUCACCACUACUCUAAACACCCAAGUUUCUAUAAAUACAAGAAUAACAAGACGCAUAUAAGUUGCUACUGGAUCGAAAUAGGGCCUCACACGGCUCCACUAAACUUUGGUUUUGUUCUUUGACCAAGAAAAUAAGAUGAAAAACAAAGCAGCUACGCUAGUUAAUCGAAAGAGCUCCACACGGCUUCAGUAAACUUGAUUUUCUUGUCAAAAAUACAAUUAUACAAAGAUUAUAUAUUAGAAAAGAUAGAAAACUUGACACUCAACAUUGAAUAAUCUACAAAUACAUAUCUCAUUCUGUCUCACUUAUAAGACCCAUAAGAGUAAGGAUAUAACUUUAAACAUGAGGGACUCAUGACACACUGGAAGGCCCUUAUCAAGCCACUCUCAGAGACCUCUGUAACAUAUUACUCACCAAUCUGAGAACAUUAUCUGGAAGGGAACCAAAACUUAGCAAUAAUGAUAUCUAAAGAGUUAUACAUAGGUAAGGAAGUAUAGCUCCACAUCAUGGAUUCAGAGAAGGAAUCUAAAAUAACCUCUGGCUUGGGCUUAGUGCCUGACUUUUUUUAAAAAAAUCAUGAAUAAUACAGUUCAAUCAUUGGAACUCAAAAGCAUUGGUGAGAUACUUUCUAACUCAAUUACAAUCCCACUACUAUUUGUAAGGAUUCAAUCUUAACUAUUUCUGAUACCUUAAAAAUAAGGCGAAGGUGGCCUGAAUAGAGGAGAUUAAGGAUCUGCAUAAAUGCAUAGAGAAUCUCUCUAUAGCACGCUCUAAGACUCAAAAGAAUAGUGAUAUUUCCUAAAUGCAUUGUAGACUCUUGAAGAAAAGUCCAAAUGUCUCCGUACCAUUCUUCAAGACUCUACUAGACACGGCUUCAUAGACACCCUGGGAUACUUGAACUUUGUGCUCUGAUACCAAGUUUGUAACAAACCAAAAUUUUCUUCCGGGACGUCACAUGAUUCGUAGGGUCUCAAGUUACCCCAAGCUAACCCUUCUACUGGCACAACUCAUAAGCAACAGAAUAUAAUGCAUAAAUUUGAAAGAAUAAGGUGGAAAAGAACUCUAAUACGAAUUUGCUCAAUACAAAUCUGAAGUUAUAAGGUUGCAACUCUGCUUUUACAAUAAAACUGUGACUCAAUACAUCAACUCCUACUGACUAUCUAUGAAGCCUCUACUAGUACGGACUACGGGUAGCUCGGUCAUGACUCCCAACCACCACAACUCAAUACGACCAAAUAAGGAAAAUACAAUACUUUUCUAUUAUAUCACUGACAUAUGGCCCUGAAUCAAAAGGACCCAUCACCUGAUGAUUGAAAGCUACGAAUUGAUUGGACGUGGUACAUCCGCUACAAUCUUGUACCUACAUUCUGAGACAAUGUAGUACAUAUACUUAAAUGUGAAUCAGUACUUUGAGGAUUUACUAAGUAUAUGGGGGUGAAUAUAUAUAUAUGUAUAUAUAUAUAUAAUAGUGUCAAUCUUCUUCAAUCAAGUCAUGCGUGCAAUAUGGGAUGCCUCACAUGGCUUGAAAAAGUAUAAAAUGUAAAGCUCAUAAAUCAUGUAAAAUGAAGCAUGUAACACAAUCUCGUGAGUCAUCAUAAUUUAACUUCAAAAUUGGAAGCCUUCUCUUACUCUCAAUGCCCAAAGGCUAAAUGAUUUAAAACCACACAUUAAAGUCAUGCAUAUAUCUCAAGGUAGUAGAAGUUCUUCUAUGCUCAACACUUCACAAUCAUUUAGAAACUCAAUACUUUGAAUUCAAAAUCUUAAAACUUGAAAACAUACAUGAAUGCAUUCAUUCACUUUAAAAAACAUCUCAUCUCAAAUCAAUACCUUUAUUAGGGAAUAUCUUUGCAAUUCAACCAUUUAGGAAAAUAGUUUAUAGGGAAGAAAAAUAAGCAUUUAAUUUCGAAGUUCGAAAGGCAAGGGAGGUUUGCAUAACUGACAUAAACCAUGCGAGCUACAUAGAGUUAAAUGUUUUUUUCUUCUAAGAAAGAGACCCCACGUUAAGGAGGAGCGUCAUACUCUUGCCAAUGAGUAUAACCUAGGUCUAGUGAUCACUAAAGGAAAAUCGGCCUCAGGCCUACAUAAUCAAAUUGGCCUUAGGCCCACUCAUAAUCAUAAUAUAAUCAGCCUCAGGCUCACAUCCUACGGUGUCACGUAGUUUUGGGGUAAGAAACCAUAGUAACUUACCCACUCGGUGCUAAAUACUACUCCCUUUCGAUUAUCUGUGCUCAUCUCAAAAGGUCCACUUUUAGAAUAAUCACAUGGUUCACCACGAACCCAAUAAUGAAAUUGAUAAUCUUAUAUAGUGAAGUGGAUUUCAAAGCUCAAGGACCAUUAUGUCAAUUCAUUUCUCAAUCAUCUCAAAAUAUUCAAAACAUGGGUGUUCAUAGCACAAGAAUUCAUAAUUACAUAAGUCUCGAAUAGGGCUUACUAACCCAUAGUUUAAUUUCAAGUUAAAGCUUAUCAAAAGCAUAAUAUAUAGCAUAUAGAUUCAUAAAUCAUGUGGAAAUCUGGGAAUUUCAGCAAUUUAUCUCAAUAUCUCAAUGUAGUCAUAUGCUUCAAUAUCUCAACAUUUCAAAUAUAAGUUUCUCAAAGAGUAAAGUCAUAGGGUUUAUCCAGCUGUGAAAACUCAAGAAAACAUGUAGAAAUCAUGCCAUUUAAUUCUCAAUUCAUGAGAAAUAUCAACAUAAUUCAUUCAAUAAAUAUGGUUGAAAACCCUAAUUCAAACUCAUGUAAAAACCCCAUUAUUUCAGCAAAAUCAUGAUAUAAAUAAACAUUUUGGGCACAAGGGUGAAAGGAUUACCCUUGUUCAAAACCCCACAUACCUUGAAUUUGAAACUUUAGAAGAACUCUCACUUUUGGAACUCUACUCUUGCUCUAGAAUGAAGAUUCUUGAGACCCUUCACUCGGGAACCUAGAAUCUUGACUCAAUUUAGAAAAUUCAUGGUGGAUUCUUGAUAUUUAUGGAAGAGGUUUUGAGUAUUUAGGGUGGAUACUUGACAAAACCCUCAUAGAAUUCUUGCAAAUGGGUUUAAUCUAGUGUUUCCACGAUUUUAUAGGCUUGAAAAAAGUCAAAAAUGCCCUUUUAAAACAUCUGUCCGAAAUUGGAAAAAUUGAACGGGAACCCGAUUACAUUGGCCUCCCCGACGCGCCACUUAUCGCGUUGGCUCUCUAGAAAUUGACAAUUGCUAAAUCAACCAUCUCCGCGAUUCGGCACUCACUCAAAUGAUGCAAUUUUAUGACUAAGGCUUAAAUUAGUCACUACUUCUUACCCGAGUGUCGGAUUUGGGCAAAUCUUAUAUUCAUGGAAAGCAUAUCAGAUUUUCCACGUGAUAAAAAAUCGAAAUUAGGGAAACUCUACAUGGUUAACAUGAUACUCACUUAGGAAGAAGCUUCUUAAUCUUUUAGUACCGAAAUCAUGCAUCACUCGAUAUGCCCUAUGACUCAAACUAUGUGGGAACUUUGCGGGGCUUUACAAUAUCUCCCCCUUGGGAACAUUUGUCCUCGAAUGUCGCUAGUUAGGCUUAGAAUGCAGGAAUAACUGAGUACACACAACUAAAACAAUUACUAAAUGGUUCAAGGUCUUCCUAAAUUCAUGACCACUCCGAAUAUCGCAAGAACUCAUACAAAGAUAGAUGCAUAGCUGAAAUACUUGUCAAAACGUGAUAAAAAAUCGAAAUUAGGGAAACUCUACAUGGUUAACAUGAUACUCACUUAGGAAGAAGCUUCUUAAUCUUUUAGUACCGGAAUCAUGCAUCACUCGAUAUGCCCUAUGACUCAAACUAUGUGGGAACUUUGCGGGGCUUUACAAUAUCUCCCCCUUGGGAACAUUUGUCCUCGAAUGUCGCUAGUUAGGCUUAGAAUGCAGGAAUAACUGAGUACACACAACUAAAACAAUUACUAAAUGGUUCAAGGUCUUCCUAAAUUCAUGACCACUCCGAAUAUCGCAAGAACUCAUACAAAGAUAGAUGCAUAGCUGAAAUACUUGUCAAAUUGAAUCUAUACCUUUUUAAACCCGACAUACUUGAAUAAUAACUAUAUUUAUGAUAGGAAUAACUAUGUAACUGAAUCUCAGAUUAGAGAGGAGAUGAAUGAAGGAAGGGUGUUACCUUCGUCUGAAUCUGGGCUAUCUUGCCUUAGUCUUAUAACGAAGAGUUAACUUAUGCUGAAUUCAAAGUGUGCGAUCAUCGACACAAAAGAUUACGUUUGAGAUCAACGAUAAGAAAUGAUUAUGUAUGAGAUCAGACCUAUUUAGUGAGAAAUCUCUGAAUCUGACAAAAAAGAUAAUCAACUGGACCUGAAAUGGAGGUCAAGUCUAUCUAACGGUGGCCUCUGGAGCUAAUAAAAGGAAUACUCAAUCGAAUCUAGUAUUGAGAUCAAAUCCAUCUAGAGAUUGACCUUGGAAUAAAAAUAAGAAUACUUAACUGCAUCUGAGAUCAAUCCUAUCUGACGGGUUAUCUCAGAAUCUAAUAACACUUAUACUGAAGAUGAUUAACUAAGUCUACUCGCAUGAAUAGCUGAAUUCCCUUGGUUCCAUUUAUCUGAUGGAAUAAUACUGAACUCAGAAUAGAGUACUCGAAUACUGUUUACACUGAACAUGGGUAUACUACUGGAUCUGAGCAGGGUACAGAACUGAGGCUAGAGCACUAAAGAUACUGAGAUUACUCAAGUUCUAUAACUGCCUGAGAAUCCUGAAUUCUAUAACUCACAAAGUUUUGAGAAUCAUGGCUCGACUGAUAUUAUCGUGAAAACUAACACAGGAUCUAGACAUUGGCUAAAUUGUGGGGUACAUAUACCCCCAGGACUCAAUAACAUAAAAGUAAAACAUAACCAUUCUUGACUAGUCAUGACCACGAUCAUUUAUUCAUCAUCACAAUAACUAAAUCAUCACUUCAUGUAUUUAGGAAUCAUAGACAUGCGAUCAUCUAGGGAUACAUGCUCUCGGCUCACAUUCCGUUCACUAAGUUCUUGCGUCAAGCACUUAGCACGUAUUUGUGUCUUGGCUUGUAUCAUAGAACACAUAAUUGGGGAAACUUCAUAUUAUCACAUCACAACUCAUCCAUCAAACACUUAGCAUGUAUCAAAGGUUUAGCAUGUGUCAAAGAGCACCUAAUUGAGGGAUUUUAUACUACCUUUUUACCAUUUAUUCACUAAGGCUUUCCAAUAACCACUUGGCAUGCAUGAGCUUACACACAAUUGGGGUUUCCUAGUCAACAUGCCAUAAUGGCUUUAAUUCCUUCACGUGAGUAUUUCAUCAAAUAUAUAUAUAAGGAGCAUGCCUUUCUUAUUCAAUAAUUUCUUCACUCAAUUGGCAUGAACACAUCAUCUAACAAGCAACGUGAAGAGGGUUUACCACGAAUAUCACAUGAAUAUCACAUGCUAGGGUCAAACCUUGAUAAACUUGUAAACAAACACGAGUCACGUGUCAAUCAUAGCAUGAACAUCAAUUUUAACUCACAUGAAUCAUGGAAAUUCAUAAACAUAAAAAAUCUUUGAACUUCAGAAAAGGGUUCUAGAGUUUCUUGGAUUAGAGGGACCCAUGAAUCAAAAUCUACAUGCGACUAUCUUCCCUAGCAUGACAUUUCUACUAUCUCCUGUCAGCACAACUGUCCAUUAUUUCCAUCGCGACCUAAGGAAGAGGUCACUGAAAAGUUAGAACAUAUGGACCUGAAGCAUGAAGGGACAUUGUACUUAACUUGGCACUCAACUGAGGCUGAGGCCUUAACAUCAUGAAAUUAUCAUAGCAGUAUAACCCAAGGACAUGCAUGAUAUAAAUCUAGACUUCGUGAAUUACUAAAAGCAUUGCUCGAGUACUUAAGUCAUGAGUUGCAUGACCUGAAUUUGGAGUUCAAAACUCAUGGGAUGUGAUCCUGACUGCCAAAUGUACCAGAACUCCCCAUUUUAUGAACUAGUAGAGUAAAUAACUCUCUAUCAUAUGCAUGAACAUAAAUUAGGAUCAUGGAUCAAAAAUAUAAAACAUGAGCAGGUAUUGGGACAACUUAAAGUACUAAAAUGAGAUUGGGUCAAGCAUCAAUCUUUCUUAAAGCAAUUCUACUGCUCACUGGUACGUCUACUAAAAUCUUAAUGUCUGAACCUGUCACCAACUCUAUCAUCUCCCCCUUAUACUUAAGCCAUCACUCCAAGGUGGUGAACCACCAAAUAAACUCUAGUCUGACUAUCGUCACCUUUCUAUAGAGAUGGGGAUAUAACAAUCCACAUAAAUAAAAGAACUUGGCUCAAAUGACUAUACUUCAAAGCAUAACACAUCACAACAAACAACAUAAUAACAAAGAUAGACCCAAUAUAUUCCUACAUAAGUGGAGUCGUGGGAGGGUAGAUUGUACGCAGUCCAUACCACUACCUUUAAAGAAAUGGAGAGGCAGUGUUUGAUAGACCUCUGGCUCAAGAUAGAAAGGUAGUAUACAAAGGCUUCAAAAACAUAGUACACCAUAAAAUAACAUAGGUACGACAUCCAUGAUGAAUUGUAUAUUGUCAAACCGAGGACAUCAGAGCCCACCUAAUUAUCGACUACGACUCAUCCACACCCUUAGCCCUCUAUCCUUAUGCUAUAUUUCUAAAUCUUCCUAUGAAGGAUCAUGUCCUCAAUCAUUUGCAACUGCCCCAUGUCACGCUCUACCAUAUCACUUUCCAAAAUUUAAUGCCAACUCAUAAAACUAUCUUCUGAGAUACACAUCAUCCAUCUAUAGCACCAAUAAUCAUCAUUUACUACUUAAAGCUUAAACGGGCACCUCUAAAUCUUUGAUAGACCACACCACUUCUACCAUAACCUAUCACUACAUAUCCUAUAACUUAUGUUUCUAGACCAUAAAAAUCAAAUCAUGCAGAACACCUUUAUUCAUAACUCCUUAACUUAGCAAUCACGAACAUCAUUCACUAUCUCCCUAGUCCAAACUAGCAACUCAGUGCCACUACUAACCAGAUAACACACAAUAAUCCUCGAGAGGCAAUGCAACCUCAAGGAACCUUGUGCACAAUUCUACAUCAUACUUACAACAAGGAAUUUGAUUAUGAACCAAAAAAAGCCCACUCGAACUUCAUAACCAAUAAUAAUCAAUCGCAAUCACAUGGCCCAUCUUAUUUCCAAUUCAUCAACACAUCCUUCUUUUACACAUCAUUACUAUCCACCUAUUUAUACAUCCCUAACUUAGUUCAUAGCCCCAUAAGUUUCGACCAAAUCCUAUCUUACAAUUCUCAAGGACGCCUAAAUUACAACACCUAUCCACCAAGUACUUUCAUCAAUAAUUCAUACUUUCCAAUGCCACAAUUAUCAUCAACAACUCUUUUCAUACUCCACGAAGCAAUAUUUCCCAAACAAGCAUGGACAUAGCACUUCAUUCCUAGCCUAAACAUGUAACAAAAUUCAGCUAUACAUAUAAACAUAUAAAUUCAACAACUGGCCCUGACCACUUUUCUUGUCACCACCACUCUAAACCCCCUAGUUUCCACCAAUCCAAAAACAACAAAAUACAUAAUAAGUUGCUAGUGGAUCGAAAUAGGCCUCACACAGCUCCACUAGACUUUGGUUUUGUGUUUUGAAUAAGAAAAUAAGAUAAAAAACAAAGCAACUACGCUAUUAAAUCGAAAGAGCCCUACAUAACUUCACUAGACUUGAUUUUGUUUUCAAAAAUACAAUGAUAACAAGAUUACAUAUUGGUAGAGAUAGAAACUUUACACACAACAUUCAAUGAUCUAUGAAUACAAAUCUCAUUCUAUCUUACUUAUAAGACCCAUAAGAGUAAGGCAAUAACUUUAAACAUGAGGGAUACAUGACACCAGAAGGCCCUUAUCAAGCCACUCUGAGAGACCUCUAUAGCAUAUUACUUACCAAUCUGAGAAUGUUAUCUGGGAGGGAACUGAAACUUAGGAAUAAUGAUAUCUAAAUAGUUAUAAAUAGGUAAGGAAUCAUAGCUCACAUCAUGGAUUCUGAGGAGAAAUUUGAAAGAACCUCUGACUUGGGCUUAGUGUCUGACUUUUUUUUAUGAAUCAUGAAUAAUUCACUUCAAUCAUCGGAACUUAAAAGAAAUAGUGGGAUACUUUAUAACUAAAUUACAAUUCUACUACUAUUUGUAAGGAUUCAAGCUUGACUAUUUCUGAUACCUUAAAAAAAGAAGAAUGUGGCCUGAAUAGAAAAAGUUGAGGAUCUGCAUAAGCGCAUAGAGAAUCUCUCUAUAGCACGAUCUAAGACUCAAAAGAAUAGAGACAUUUAGUAAAUUCCUUGUAUCCUCUUGAAGAAAAGUACAUAUAUCUUCGUACCAUUUUGUAAGACUCUACUAGAUACGGCUUCAUAGAUAGCCUGGGACACUUGAACCUUAUGAUCUGAUUCCAAGUUUGUAAUGACCCAAAAUCGCUUCUAGGGACGUCACACAGUGCCUAGGGUCUCAAGUGACCCCAAGAUAACCCUUCUAUUCGGACAACUCAUAAGCAAUGGAAUAAAAUGCAUAAAUCUGAAAGAAUAAGGUGGAAAAGAACUCUAAUACGAAUUUGCUCAAUAUAAAUCUAAAGUCACAGGGUUACAAAUCUGCUUUUAUAAUAAAAUUGAGACUCAAUACAUCAACUCCUACCAACUAUCUAUGUAGACUCUACUAGUACUAACAAUGGGUAGCUAGGUCAUGAAUCCCAACCACCCCAACUCAAUAUAACUAAAUAAGGAAAAUACAACACUUUUCUAUUAUAUCACUAACUUUUAGCCCUGAAUCAGAAGGUCUCAUCACCUGAUGACUGGAAGCUACAAACUGAUUGGACGUGGUACAUGCGCUACAAUCUUGUACCUAAAUUAUGAGACAAAGUAUCACAUAGACGUAUAUGUGAAUCAGUACGGAGUAUGUGGGGGUGAAUGCAUAUGCAUAAAAUAGUGUCAGUCUUCUUCAAUCAAGUCAUGCAUGCAAUAUGGGAUGACUCACAUGUCUUGAACAAGUAUAAAAUGUAAAGCUCAUAAAUCAUGUAGAAUGAAGCAUGUAACACAAUCUCGUGAUUCAUCAUUAUUUAACUUCAAAAUCGGAAACCUUCUCUUACUCGCAAUGCCCAAAUGCUAAGGGAUUUCAAACCACACUUUGAAGUCAUGCAUAUAUCUCAAGAGAGUAAAAGUUCUUCAAUGCUCAACACUUCACAAUCAUUUAGAAACUUAUAUACUUGAAAUUUGAAAUCAUAAAACUUGAAAACAUACUAGAAGGGAUUUUAUUCACUUUAGAAAAUAUCUCAUCUCAAAUCAAUUCCUUAUAGGGAAGGAAAAUAAGCAUUUAAUUUUGAAGUUCAAAAGGCAAUGAAGGUUCUCGUAACUGACAUAAACCAUUCAAGAUACAUGGAGUCCAACAUUUAUCCUCGUAAGAAAGAGACCCCACGUUGGGGAGGAGUGUCAUACUCUUUCCAAGGAGUAUAAUCUUGGUCUAGUGAUCACUAAACAAAAAUUGGUCUCGGGCCUACGUAAUCAAAUUGGCCUCAGGCCUGCUCAUAAUCAUAAUAUAAUCAGCCUCAGGCUCAUAUCCUAUGGUGGCACGUAGUUUUAGGGUAAGAAACCAUAGUAACUUACCUAUUCGGUGCUAAAUACUACUCCCUUUAGAUUUUCUAUGCUCAUCUCAAAAAGUCCACUUUUAGAAUAAUCACAUGGUUCACCAUGAACCCAAUAAUCAAAUCAAUAAUCUCAUAUAGUGAAGUGGAUUUCAAAGAUCAAGGACCAUUAGGUCAGUUCAUUUCUCAAUCAUCUCAAUAUAUUCUAAACAUGGGUGCUCAUAGCACCAGAGUUCAUAAUUUCAUUUGUCUCGAAUAGUGCUUAUUAACCCAUAGUUCAAUUUCAAGUUAAAGCUUAUCAAAAGAUUAAUAUAUAGCAUAUAGAUUCAUAAAUCAUAUGGAAAUCUAGAAAUUUCAGCAAUUCAUCUCAAAAUCUCAAUGUAGUCAUAUGCUUAAAUAUCUCAACAUUUCAAAUAUAAGCUUCUCAAGGAGUAAAGUCAUGGGGUUUAUCCAGCUGUAAAAACUCAAGAAAACAUGUAGAAAUCAUNNNNNNNNNNNNNNNNNNNNNNNNNNNNNNNNNNNNNNNNNNNNNNNNNNNNNNNNNNNNNNNNNNNNNNNNNNNNNNNNNNNNNNNNNNNNNNNNNNNNNNNNNNNNNNNNNNNNNNNNNNNNNNNNNNNNNNNNNNNNNNNNNNNNNNNNNNNNNNNNNNNNNNNNNNNNNNNNCACAUACCUUGAAUUUGAAUAUUUAGAAGAACUCUCACUUUUGGAACUCUACUCUUGCUCUAGAAUGAGGGUUCUUGAGACCCUUCACUUGGGAACCUAGAAUCUUGACUUAAUUUAGAAAAUCCAUGGUGGAUUCUUGAGAUUUAUGGAAGAGGUUUAGAGUAUUUAGGAUUCUUGUUGAGAGGAUACUUGAUAAAACCCUCAUAUAAUGCUUGCAAAUGGGUUUAAUCCAGUGUUUCCAUGAUUUUAUAGGCUUGAAAAAAGUCAAAAAUGCCCUUUUUAAACAUCUGUGCUAAACUGGAAAAAUUGAACUGGAACCCAAUUUCACUGGCCUCCGCAACGCAGAACUUAUCGCGUUGUCUCUCUGGAUAUUGACAAUUACUAAAUCAACCAUCUCCGUGAUGGGCCACUCACUCAAAUGACAUAAUUUUACGACUAAGGUUUAAAUUAGUCAUAACUUCUUACCUGAGUGUCGGAUUUGGGCAAAUCUUAUAUCGAUGGAAAGCUUAUCAGAUUUCCCAUGUGAUAAAAAAAUCAAAAUUUGGGUAAUUCUAUAUGGGUAACAUGUUACUUAAAUAGGAAUCAACUUCUAAUCUUUUAGGGACAGAAUUAUGCCUCACUCGACAUGCCCUACGACUCAAACUACGAGGGAACUUUGCGGGGCUUUAUAGUAACCAUGUCAUGGGCAUCCCAAUAUAGGGGUAAAUCAACUGGCACAAGUAGUGGUGGUGCUGCUUCACUACUAGAGGAUGCACUUAUGUCUAUCUCUAGACGCCUCUGCCUAUCAAUGACCGUAGUCUCUAUGCAAUCAUAUCUCAAACUUUUAAUAGUGUAGUCAUAUGGCAUAUCAAGAUCCUACAAGAUUUAUUUGUGACAUAUGUUUACACCAACUAUCGAUACCAUCUUAUCAUCCUCUGUGAAGAAAUUAAACUUUCUAGGUACAUGCAGAGGUAAUAUCUAGACCACUGGGGGGUAUAACUGAGGGAGUGGAUACUAUACAACUAUCUAUGAGAGUGCAUACCUCUGCUUAUAAUAUAUAAAAAUCCUCCUUCAUCUAGGCUAGAUCUGGUGCCUCUAUAUCUGUAAUUCGAGUUAUAACUUAUCUCUCAAAGUCAUCAAGACAUGCCUAAAAGUCAGCACGUAGCUCAGAGAGUGCAGCUCUUUGUGCGGCCUCCCAUCUGUCCUCUGCCUACUCAAAUCUAGUUCGAACCCCAGAUCUCAUUUUCUCGUAUAAGGUAUUUAUCUUAGUCUCAACAACCUCAACCAAGCAUUGGUGACCCUCUGGCUUUCCACUAAACUCUUUAAGAACUCUAUAGAUAGAGUAAUUAUACCCUUAGUAGGAGUUGUAAUAGAUGGGUGAGUAGGCUCUGAACAUAUGCCAACCUGCUCUGAGGUUGAAGUCGGGUCUUAUGAAGAAGUGGUUGGUGUCCCCUCACCCUGAUUACUCGAAUUGGUAGCCUUUCUCUGCAUCCCUAUCUUCAUAUUAUCACUAACACCCAUAUUGCAUACAUGUUCGUCACCACUGUGGAAACUGAUGGGCCCUCAAUCUAGACUCGAGGAACUGUGGUAGGUUCUCUAGAUCUCCUGGCAAGGCCUGGGCAUGCUAGAUCCUAUAUACUCUUUAUCUACAUAGUAUCCAUCACACGUACCCUUUCAUAUACACCCGGUAUCUCAAGUACACCAGCCUUAUCAUAUAUCCUCUGAAUAAUUCUAUGGUAUGGUAGAUUAGUCAUCUCCCCAAAUGCUCUGUCAUGGAUCUCAUUCAAUAGGAUGGAUCCAAAAUCAAUAGCAUAUCGGGUCAUUAUAGUAGCAACAAGGGUUCUUCCUUCCAAAGUAAACAAACUAUCCAAAGCUGUGGGAAAUAAUUUAUAUCUAAUUAGCAACCACCAAAACAUGGACUCAAUGGUCAACACACCCUUGUUGAUCAUUCCAUUACCCUCAAUCUAUGGGUUAGCAUCACUUAAAGGUAAAAUAUAGCUGGAUAUCCACCUAUCCAUCUCAACCCUUUCUCAGGUAUGUUAAGCCUCCUGUAUAAUGUGUCGAUCUUAUACGAAUCUUAGUCGGUAGUCACACUCAGUUGUAGAUGCAAGAGUGAUAUAAUAUAGACCAAAAAUGACCCGACAGAUAAUCUCUACUGAAGCUAAACUCUAACCCCUCUCAUAAGUGUAUGACCAAGAUAUGGCGGCUCUAUGUGCUUCGUCGGGUUUGGCAAUCUGUGCAUAGCAAGAGAAUAACUAGGUAUCAUGCAUAAAACUCAAGCACCGAACCUAGGCUAUAAGAACCAAGUGGUCUAGUUAUCCACUCUAACUAAUAUUGAUCAGAGUAAGCUCGUAACUAUGGUACUCUCCUCAACCAUGAUAUACCAAUCUUUCUCCUUAUAAAUAAGUCUCUUGGGUUUUCUAGUAUCUGAGAUAUGAUUGUUUAUAUAAUAAACCACCAUAUAUCCUCUACAAACCACCUUAGAGGUGCCUCUAUGGCAUGUGUGGAUGCAAGGCUCUUCCCAUAAUGUACUGGUGCAUCAUGGGUAGCCUGCUCUGUACCAUCCUUAUAUUGGGGUACAUCUGAAUAUUGUAUGUGAAUGAUAGUACCUUACUAAGACUCAAAUACGACUGAUGAUUCCUCUAGACUCGAAUACCACUGAUGACUCCUUCUCAACAGCUUCAAAUGAAUCCUGGGACCCGUCCUCAGACUUGAGGUCCUAAGUUACAACCUUUGGAGUAGUGUAUGGGGGUUCUAUCCAUGCUGACUUCUUCCUUGACUAGGCUUUGACUGCCUGAGUAGUCUGGCGUAUCUCUCCUCUAGUUACUCUGUGUGUAACCACAACUAUAGUGUCCCUAUGUCGCUGCAUCAGGUACUCCUCCACUGAACCACUAGGCUCGAGAUACUCUGCUCGUCUCCUCGAGGUAUCAACCUUUUUAUUCUUAUUAUCUUUUGGUACCAUGUCUACCUAAAAAAAUAGUCGUUAGUUUCCAAAAUAAUAAGGUAUAGCAAAAAUUAAAGAAAACUCAAAAUUCAAAAAGUUAAAAUUUUUCCUCAAUUUUCAGACCCUUAGAACCUGUUUGAAAUCAAUGCAAGUCCAAUGUGCAAAAAUCUAUCAAGAAUCAUCAUUUUCAAUAUAAACUAAUAUGCUCAACUUGUGGUAUUACUCUAUUCAUUCAAGUUCAACUUUUGGUUGGGGCCUAACCUUAGAAUUUAAUUCAAAACAUGACCCUAAAUUGAGAUUAUAGGAUAAUUCAAGGCUCCUACAUACAAGCUUGAUAAUAUCUAUAUAUUUUACAAGGGAAUACAUAUAUCAACUUGUUUAAAUAAUAAAUAAAUCAAUACAUAACCAUUAGGAGUCGAGAGAGUUACAUCUUUUAUGAAAAUCUGAAUAUGAACAAAGAAGAACUCGAGCAAAAUCAAAGUUAGAAAUUAUAUUUAGUGUUUUGAGACAAGUUAGUAUCUCAAACAAGUGUCAAUUUAGCCUCUACUUAAGUAUGGGGUUACUUUAUGUUUUAAGAGAGAAGUUUGGAUUCAAAGAGAAAAAUGAAGUUUUGAGGAUUUGAAUGAGUUAGAAUAAGUUUAAAUGUGUUUACAUAAGGAUGGAACAUGUGUUGGUGGGCUCGAAUUUUUAAUUAAAAUUUGGGGCCACUUAUGACCAAGUCACGGUAGGUACCUGCGCCUGCCACAUACGGCAAGCAUGGGUGUAAGUUCCAUUUGCAUAACUGCAGGGCUAAAAAUUUUGGCACCCUUUCCUGCAAUCCUGAUGUGGUGUUUUUCUAUUUUUACAGCUACUUAUGAUACCGUAACCUAAGUUUAUCAUACCAUAAGGAUGAUUAGAUACCAAAGUCCACAACUUUUAAUUCUCAUCCUAAAAGUAUUCACUGUUUAAUUUAUUGUUCAUCUUACCUGGCUCAUGUGGGACUCGUGACCAUGAUGGGUUAAUCACACCAUCCCCUUGCGCGGAAAUUGAUGAAUGAAGCAAUUUUACCAUAUUCCAGGCAAGUCAAUAAGCUAAAAACCAACAAAAGAAAAACAACAAAAAAUGAAUACUCAAGUAGUUGUUUGCCUCCUUCUCAGCACUGGACUUAACGUCGCGGCAUAAUGCGACUGUAAAUAAAUACUCCACACUUAGACUUUAAAAGGUACAGAUAAAAAUACUCCCUGAGGCAUCUAGGCCUAGCUAGUAGCAUAUUUACACGUUAAGAGGGUCUGAGGACCCUACACUUAGUCUUUUCCAUGUUCCUUAGCUCAGGUUUUCCGAUACUCAGACUUCCUAUCAACCUUUGACUUAACAAAAACAAACACUAGUGAAGUAGAACUCAAUAUACUUAAAAUAAAACCUACUUACUUAACUUGGGUUGCCUCCCAAGAUACGUCUGAUUUAGUGUAGCAGCAUGACCCAAUCUCUAACUCAACCAUAUUCCUUCAUCUUUUUCCUCCUAAUUUCUGACCUCUUGAGUGUGAACUCUCAAGGUUAAUACCUUUCUCAACAAUAACCUUUUCAAGAUCAUCAAUUUCCAUCAUGUCGGGCUUAGAUAUUUAUGGCUUAUCCUUCUCAAUUAGGAAGUCUAGAGAGGUGUUUUAUGGAAUAGAUUCCUCCACCCCACACUUAUUCCCUUUAACCACUAUAAUCAUGCAAAUCUUUAUAGUGGGCUAUUGCGUUGAGCGGUUUGUACUCUUUAAAAAUCAUCUCUCCAUUAUCUAGCCUCAUUGUUAGUGUGCCCUCUCUCAUACCAAAGCUCCUCCCAACUCCAAGAAUGGAUGUCCCAAGAUGACUAUUACUCUUUUAUCUACCUAAAAAUCUAAAAUAAUAAAAUAAGAAGGAAUAAUAAACUUACCAACCUUGAUAAGAACAUCCUCUAUGACUCCUUCAGGAUGGGCUAUUAUCCCAUUUACCAGUUGUAAUAGCACAAAGUACGGUCUUGGCUUUCCUAAGCCCAAAGUGUUAAACAAAGAGAGGGGCAUCAAAUUGAUGCUUGCCCCUAAGUCACUAACUACAUGGACCACCUCACUAUUGCCAAUUCAAGUGAGGAGAGUGAACCUCCCAAGGUCCUUGAUAUUCUUUGGCAUCUUUUGUGUCACCACAGAGCUACACUUCUCAGUGAGUGCGACUACCUUGACAUCCUAUAUCGUAACAUAGUUAGUGACCACAUCCUUCAAGUACUUAGAAUACUUGGUCAUUCCUUGACAAAAAUCUAAGAGAAAAAAGUUAAUAUGAAUAUCUUAGAAUGUGUCGAAGAACUUUUUAAAGCACACAUCCUCCUUUUCCUUUUUAUGCUUCUGUGGAAAAGGUAGUGAUGGUCUCUCUUUCACCUAUUCAGCAAUUUUAUUUUUUGAGUACUCUGACUUUCCUAAAUUUUUAUCAACUUUCUUAGAUACCUGUGGGGAAAUUAACUCUGCAUCUACCUCCUUAGUUUUUUUUGGAGUUUCUUCAUUCAUACUUUUACCACUCCCCAAAGAAUUUGCCAUAAUCUUUUUCGGAUUUUCUGUAUCACUUGGCAAACCACCUUGAGGCCUGGUAUUUUGUGCCUUCGUAAACUGACCAAUUAGAAAAUCUAAGAUCCUUGUAACUUCUUGUUGCCUCUUUAUAUCUACUGCCAGUUGAUCUUGAGUAACCAUGAUUUGCUUUAGCAUCUCUUUUAAAUUGUUGUUCAGAGUUGUGGGUUGAUUAUUCUGAGCUUGUUUCUAUUGAAACUAUUAUUGAUUGUUCCAUGAGGUGUUUAGUGGAUGAGUUUACGACUUUUGAUUGUAGGCAAUCCUAUAAUUUGUCAUUUAAACAUUACCUGCAAAUAUCACAAUCUCUAGAUUUGUAGCACACAUAGCCACUGAAUGGCCACUAUUACCAUAAACCUCCCAACAACCUAUAACCUGUUGAAUUGCAUUAACUGUGUUUGCAGGCGGUGUAACCCGCAAAUUUUUAUUGCUUGGCUGAUUUUGCAUUGCAGAAAUAUGGGUGGAUAUAGCAGUAAAUUGGUCCACCUCCAAUACACCUACAACCUUCUUUAUGGAAUUUCUUGAGUCUAAAUGCCACUUGGGAUUCCCUUGUUCAAUUCGGUUCAACAAGGUAAAAAGCUCAUCAUAUGUCAACUCUAGAGCUUGGUUUUUGGUCAAGUACUUCAACAAAAAUAUAAGCUAAUACCUCGCUGGACUGCUGAUGUUGCAGAUAGUCCCGAAGAAGUGAUUUCAACCACUCCCAUGCAUGAUACAAAUUCUUAUCUAGCUUCUGUUUAAUGCACACAAUCUCACUAUGAAGUUUUGCAAUCUUGCUAGAUGGAAAGAAUUGAAUGAGGAAUUUCUGGGUUAAGUCAUCCUAUGUUGUGAUUGAAUUUAUUGGCUCAGAAUUCAAGCACUUUUUUGCUUUCCCCAACAGUGAAAAGGGGAAUAGUGUCAGCCAAACAUAGUCAGUUCACACACCCGUAGGGACAAAUGUGCCAUUGAUCUCCAAUAAGUUCCAUAGGUGGACUUGUGGAUCUUCAUGCGAAAGCCCUAUAAACUUUCCAUUGUUGAUAAAAAAGCUGCAUCAUAUUCCGUUUUCACUCAAAAUUACCCCCAACACCUAGUUUCUGAAAAAGAGAGGUCAAAUUUCCUAGAAGUGGUAUUUCCACUUUGCGAAUUAUCUAGUGGGAUAGCUGUUCUUUAUCCAUGAAAUUAGCAUCGUCUUGUUCCUCAUGAAUUUGUGGGAAUUGGUGGAGAAGUUCUACCUCUCCUCUAUUGAUGGUACAAUUGCUUGGAUUCGGGCUUUGGUUUGACUAAUUCCCUAUCCCGUGCUAACCUACUAAUUUUUUAACCUAUUUCUUACAAACUAAAUACCAAAUAACAAGCUUAAAGAAGCAAAGAAAUCUAAAAAUUAAAACAAAAACAAAAAUAGUUGCCAAUUUGCAAGUCCCCAGUAAUGACGCCAAAAACUUAUUGUUCCCAAGUGUACACGCAAGUUUAUGUGGUAUCACCAAGUUGUAAAGUUUCCCUUUAGAAGCUAAGUGUCAAUCUUAUAGGGACUAGUGUUAAGCAACUAUGAAAUUUCAAUUCAACUAUUAAGAUUAACAAGGUUCAAGUGUAACCAAGAGAGAAUUUGAAGUCUAUAAACUAAAAGUAAAUAGUCAGUAAAGUAAAGACUUAAUACAAUCAAUGGAUGAAAUCCUAGGGUUAAAUCAGUACAAACAAUCAUACUAUGCUUUAACUUCAUUAAUUAAAUUACUUAUCUUGGUUGUUGAUUCGUAGGGUUUAUCGUACGAUCAUGGUCUCCUGACCUCUAAUUUUCUACCUACUUUGACGUUGCAACUACAUCAUUGAGCGAGGAAAUAAUAAUCCAAUUAGAUGCAUUAAUAUAUCAUCCUACAUGUUAACUAAGCAAGGCUUCUAGGUAUAUCCCUAUCCUAGAUUCUUAUUCAAAUUCCUUAUUUCAUAAAAGAAUAAGAACCUUACUUUCUCAGUCCCGCGUUCUAUCUUUCUGUUACACCUACUGAGACCAUAAGGUCUACAAUAUAUGUAAUAUAAAGGUCAAAAAAUCCUUAAAAUAGUUGAAACAAGGAUAAACAAACAACCAAAGUUUAUAAGCAAUUCAAACAGACUUAACUCAGAACAAAAGUAAUUAUGUUCUUGGGUUUAACCUCAGAAAGGGGGCGUUUAGCCACUAAUCAGAAUAACCAUAAUCCAAAUUCUUGAAUACAUGAUUAAAUCUAUUAAAAAUACACAAUUAAGUAAUAUAAAUCCAAAAAAAUAUGUGUAGUAGACUACUCUCCAGUCCCAAGACGUCGAAAACUAAUUUGAACAUGAUGACAAGUCCUACUUAUAGUAAGAGACAGUUUUUCCAUGUGUGGGAAGAUUGACGCACUGCAUUGCUUAAUCAAAUUGAGAGAUAAAAACGAUGCAAUGGUUACACAUUGAGUAAGUGCGCGUUGGCUCACUUGAAUUUGCCUUUUGAUGCCUAAUUUCUUCUAAGUGUUUCUCCUUCCAUCACUUGACUUGUAGUGUUAUUGCCACUCAAUUUUAAUAUUGUAUAGAAUAUAAAUAUAAUCACAAUAAACAUGAUUAAAAACAACACUUUAGGUUCAAAACAACACAAUAUCAAUAACGAUGAACUAGAAACACGAGCUAAGCUAGGCUUGGCCAUGUUAAUCUUUACUUCAUGAUUUGACUCUUUAAUUGAUUCAAGUGCACUUUGUAAAUUGUAAAAAGUUUUUACACAUAAAUAAAACCAUUAGGAACUCAUUUAACACAUUAUAAUCCAUCAUAAUAGACUAGAGCAACACCUAGCUCAAGCUAGUAAAGCUAGUUUUCUCGUCUAGACUCUAAAUGAUCCAUUUGAACCCAUACUUGUUUUAAAACAACUUUAAACAUUAUAAUCAUAUACUUUUACACUUAUAUUCUUAUUUAUAUCAUCAUCAACACAUAAAUCACACGAAUUGUCUUCAAAACCAGGCUAAAUAGUAAGAUAACAACACUAAAGUACGGAAAUACACCCAACAUCAUGAUCGUGACCCCAAACCAGAAUCAGAUCUACCCAAGCUAACCUUCAAGUCCCACAAUCACAUAAUAUGAUUGAUAUAAUUGUACCUAUGUGAUUGUGAUCACAAUGGCUGAGUUUUGUUUACAUUUAUGUCAGCUAUAAAUUGGGAAAUGUUUUUAAAAUGGUUCCCACACUCAACUCCCUUUAAAUACCAAAAAAAAUCUAAAUUUUUUUAUAAUUUUAAGCGUAUCCAAAGUGCAUACAUCCUCCUUUGCAUCGUCACAUCCAGUAUGACAUCUCAAUCUUCUUUUAAUGCUUAAGUUAGGCCUUAGAAGCAUGUUUGGGCUCAUGGCUUAGAUUAUUGAUUUUGGUGCUUAAUAUAUGUUCAAUAGUGAUAAUUUUUUAGUGGUGAGUGUUGUUGUUGGUGUUCACCUCAUUGGGGAAGUCUUGAGUACCAAAGUUGUUCAAAACUAGGAUGAAAUAAAGGUGCACACUAAGUGUUUAAUGAAAUAUCGAAAUGAACUUAUUGGUUGUUUUCUAUAAACAAAGGGUAAUAAUUGAGAGUUUAGGUUUUGUGUGUCAUAUUUCUAGUGUCAUUUACUUGCUUGGUACACAAAUUGGUAAAGAAAAUUAGUAGUUUUGAUCAUGAUCAUUCUAGGCCUGCAUCCUCAGGUAUCGCGAUAUAAUCACUAAACUGAGAUCACAAUAAUGCUAUUGCGAUCAAGUUCUUUUAAAUUUCAUCAACUAAAAGGUGUCUAACAGGCCUACCAAAACUCUUGAACUCUUAUUUUAAGCCCAAAUUUGACCCAUGAACCAUUUCAUUAGCUUUGCUAAUUUUCCUAGCAUUAUUUUCACAUGAUGAUAUUGAUUGCUAAUUUUUUUGGGUUCUUCAAGUUUCAAAACCUAAAUAUGGAAAACUAUGAUCAAACCAUUUUCAUGGUGAUUGAGUGUUAGACUAUUUAUUAUGAGGAUCCUUCCAGGUAGAAAGUACUACUUGAGAGGGACAUAUCAAUGGAAUAGGUACCCAAAAAGCUCUUUUCAUUGAGUGAGAGCUUGGUAGCCACAUAUUGGAGAUGCUUCACCUUAGGUCUAUACCGAGCUAAUAAGCAAUUGAUUAGGGAAUUCUAUGCUAAUCUCAAUGUCGUGAAAAUUUCUGACCUAGUAUUGAGAAUUUAAGGCACAAAAGUUUGUUACAUGGCUAAACAAAUCAAUAAAGUAUAUGGGUUGCCAAAUAUUGAUAUGAGUGAGCAUGAAGACAAAGACUGGGCACUGGGAAGCUGGUUAGUUGAGAAGCUAUGCUCAGGAAGGAAAGUUCAAUAGGCUGACACAAAAAUUGGUAUAACAAAGAAUCAGUAACGAUGAAGGCUCGGAUUUGGUUAACUAUCAUCUUUAUAUAUGUUUCUUUAUCUACCAAUAUGACCCAUGUCCAAUUCAUGUAAGAUUAGAUGGUAGCUUGCCUUUUAUAAAAUAUUUCUAAUAAUGUUGGUCAUUUUAUGCUUUCAUAGAUCUGCUAUUUUAAGAAGAAAGGUGGCCCCAUGAUCCUAUUUCUUUCUUUUAUCAUUGAGCUUUGCAAGAGGGCUGAGGUGGAGGAAUAUUCUAGGGACAACUAGGUAUCGCUGAAGACCCUUAUUUACCUAUUGAAUAUACUGGCGAGGAAUCACCUUUAAAGACAAAAAAAAGGAAAAUCAAUUUGGGUAAAUCAGUGGAUAAUGAUGUUGACUCUUGCAGACCAUCAAUAGUAGGGAUUCUUGAGUAGAUCUCAAGUCAGAUAUGAAUAAUAAAUAAGCUAGUUUCUAAUCUACCUCAAUGGAUAGAGGAACCUUCAAUUAAUCUACACUCCUUUGUUUUU